rnacentral:rRNA from 1 species
CCUGCCGGCAUAAGUAGCGAUAAACACGAUGAGAACUCGUGUCGCCGAAAGUCUAAGGUUUCCUGAGGAAGGUUAAUCCGCUCAGGGUUAGGCGGGUCCUAAGGUGAGGCCGAAAGGCGUAGCUGAUGGACAGCAGGUCAAUAUUCCUGCCCCGCCUGGUGUGCGUUAUCACGAUGGGGUGACGCAGUAGGAUACGGGAGUCGGCUGAUGGAUGCCGAUGCCUGUGUGUAAGCCGGAUCCCGCAGGAAAAUCCACGGGGUCAUUCAACGGUGAGACACGGGCCGAGACCUUACGGUCGCAAAGUCCCCGAUUUCACGCUGCCAGGAAAAACCUCUAAGGAGUACAUCAGGUGCCCGUACCUCAAACCGACACAGGUAGACGAGAUGAAUAUUCACAGGCGCUCGAGAGAAUGCUUGCUCAGGAACUAGGCACAUUAACCCCGUAACUUCGGGAGAAGGGGUGCCCCGCUAGGGUUUAUAGCCCGAAGGGGCCGCAGUGAAACGCGCUCUGCGACUGUUUAACAAAAACACAGCUCUCUGCUAAGUCGAAUACGACGUAUAGGGGGUGACACCUGCCCGGUGCCGGAAGGUUAAAGGGAGGGCUCAUCGCCGCAAGGCGAGAAGGCUUGAUCUGAAGCCCCGGUGAACGGCGGCCGUAACUAUAACGGUCCUAAGGUAGCGAAAUUCCUUGUCGGGUAAGUUCCGACCUGCACGAAUGGUGUAACGAUAGAGCGACUGUCUUGGCAAGCAGCUCGGCGAAUUUGUGGUCCCGGUGAAGACGCCGGGUGCCCGCACCUAGACGGAAAGACCCCGUGCACCUUAACUGCACUCUGGUCAUGAAUAACGGGUCGGUCUGCGUAGCAUAGGUGGGAGUCUAUGAACCUCUGGUCUCGGCUGGAGGGGAGACAACAGUGAAAUACCACCCUGAUCGUUCUGUCGUUCUAACUUACGACCCUCAUCGGGUCGGAGGACAUGGCCAGACGGGUAGUUUGACUGGGGCGGUCGCCUCCUAAACUGUAACGGAGGCGCCCAAAGCUCGGCUCAGGCGGAUUGGAAACCCGCCGUGGAGUGCAAGAGCACAAGCCGGGUUGACUGCGAGACACACAGGUCGAGCAGGUACGAAAGUAGGGUCUAGUGAUCCGGUGGUCCCGUGUGGAAGGGCCAUCGCUCAACGGAUAAAAGGUACGCCGGGGAUAACAGGCUGAUCGGGCCCAAGAGUUCACAUCGACGGCCCGGUUUGGCACCUCGAUGUCGGCUCAUCGCAUCCUGGGGCUGUAGAAGGUCCCAAGGGUUAGGCUGUUCGCCUAUUAAAGCGGUACGUGAGCUGGGUUCAGAACGUCGCGAGACAGUUCGGUCCCUAUCUGGUGUGGGCGUAGGAAACUUGAGGGGAGCUGUCCUUAGUACGAGAGGACCGGGAUGGACGGACCGCUUGUGAUCGAGUUGUCGCGCCAGCGGCAUCGCUCGGUAUCGAAGUCCGGACGUGAUAAUCGCUGAAAGCAUCUAAGCGAGAAACACACCCCAAGAUAAGGUUUCCCAAUUCUCCUUCGGGGGAAUAAGAAGGGCAGUCGUAGACUACGACUUUGAUAGGCGGGAUGUGGAAGCGCAGUAAUGCGUGAAGCUGACCCGUACUAAUCGCCCGUUCGGCUUGACCAU